rnacentral:rRNA from 1 species
UACGUAGGGUGCGAGCGUUGUCCGGAAUUAUUGGGCGUAAAGAGCUCGUAGGCGGUCUGUCGCGUCGGCUGUGAAAACUCGGGGCUCAACCCCGAGCCUGCAGUCGAUACGGGCAGACUAGAGUGCGGUAGGGGAGACUGGAAUUCCUGGUGUAGCGGUGAAAUGCGCAGAUAUCAGGAGGAACACCGGUGGCGAAGGCGGGUCUCUGGGCCGUAACUGACGCUGAGGAGCGAAAGCGUGGGGAGCAAACAGG